rnacentral:rRNA from 1 species
GGCGGUCCUGCAUGUCGGUUGUGAAAGCCCCCGGCUCAACCGGGGAAGGGCAACCGAAACUGUGGGGCUAGAGUGUGGGAGGGGAGAAAGGAAUUCCUGGUGGAGCGGUGAAAUGCGUAGAUAUCAGGAGGAACGCCGGUGGCGAAAGCGAUUCUCUGGCCCACUACUGACGCUGAGGUGCGAAAGCUAGGGGAGCAAACGGGAUUAGAUACCCCGGUAGUCCUAGCCGUAAACGAUGGGCACUAGGUAGGGGAGGCUACAAGGUCUUCUCUGCUGGAGCUAACGCAUUAAGUGCCCCGCCUGGGGAGUAUGGUCGCAAGGCUAAAACUCAAAGGAAUUGACGGGGGCUCACACAAGCGGUGGAGCAUGUGGCUCAAUUCGAGGCAACGCGAAGAACCUUAUCCUGGGCUUGACAUGGUUGGAUGCCCUUAGCGAAAGCUAAGUAAGCUGCCUUCGGGUGAAACUUCCACAGGUGCUGCAUGGCUGUCGUCAGCUCGUGCUGUGAAGUGUUGGGUUAAGUCCCCUAACGAGCGAAACCCUUGUCUCUAGUUACCAGCAGGUCAUGCCGGGGACUCUAGAGAGACUGCCGGUGUUAAACCGGAGGAAGGUGGGGAUGACGUCAAGUCCUCAUGGCCUUUAUGCCCAGGGCUGCACACGUGCUACAAUGGCCGGUACAAACCGACGCAAUACCGCGAGGUGGAGCAAAUCGGAAAAAACCGGUCUCAGUUCGGAUUGCAGGCUGCA